UACGGAGGGGGCUAGCGUUGUUCGGAAUUACUGGGCGUAAAGCGCACGUAGGCGGAUUUGUAAGUCAGGGGUGAAAUCCCGGGGCUCAACCUCGGAACUGCCUUUGAUACUGCAAAUCUCGAGUCCGGAAGAGGUGAGUGGAACUCCUAGUGUAGAGGUGAAAUUCGUAGAUAUUAGGAAGAACACCAGUGGCGAAGGCGGCUCACUGGUCCGGUACUGACGCUGAGGUGCGAAAGCGUGGGGAGCAAACAGG
rnacentral:rRNA from 1 species